rnacentral:rRNA from 1 species
AACGAACGUUGGCGGCGUGGAUGAGGCAUGCAAGUCGAACGCGAAAGCCGCAAGGCGAGUAAAGUGGCGGACGGGCGAGUAACACGUAAUCAAGCUACCUGCGAGACGGGGAUAACUUCGGGAAACCGAAGCUAAGACCCGAUGGUCUUCUAGGAACGCAUGUUCCAUGAAGUAAAUGGGCGGGAUCCUCCGGGAUCGCCUGCUCGCAGAGGUGAUUGCGGCCCAUCAGCUAGUUGUAGGGUAAUGGCCUACCAAGGCAACGACGGGUAGCCGGCCUUAGAGGGUGGUCGGCCGCACUGGGACUGAGACACUGCCCAGACUCCUACGGGAGGCUGCAGUCGAGAAUCUUCCGCAAUGGGCGAAAGCCUGACGGAGCGACGCCGCGUGGAGGAUGAAGGCC